rnacentral:ncRNA from 1 species
AAGAAUAUAUUAUUUGGGAAGAGUAAGUUUAUAUCAUUUUAAAGAGAGCAUAUGGUGGCUGUGAAUAUGUAAAUGAUUAAGUCUGAAGGUAGCCCUAUUUUAUAACUUCUAUUGAAACAUAGACGACAAGUAGGUAGAAGCGUGUAUGAGCGUUAAUCAGAGACUUAAGUGCUUGAAGAAAAGAAUGAAUUAUUUCUUCUUGAAUAUAGGUGGUACCACGGAACAGAACAUCCGUCCUAUUU